GAGCUGUCCGGUAAUAGAAAGAAGCUGCAGAACCCUGUUGUCUUCAUCUUUUGUUUAACUCAUGCAACAUUUGAAAGCACGUUUGCCUACAAGAAAUAAAACUUAAGUUGUGAAAUGGCUUAUUAAUGAACUCAGAUGACAAGAAACCAAAACAGCGGGCCUGGCUGAAGGAUUCAUCCCUAGCCCUGAAAGCCAGCGGGGUCUUUCUGUAACAUCAAAGGCACAAACAAUUGAACCGACAUGGGGACUUAUUCUGUCCAGCAGCCCUGGUGGCCUCAGACCAUCCGAAGCAAGGGUAACCUACCAGAAAGCUGCUAGAUGUUCCCCACUACAGUGAAGGAUUAAACAAAGAAUGAAGAAGAAGUAGGACUCAAGAAGUAAAUGAUCCAACUCAAGAAAGAGAUGACCAAGUGGAAUACCUUUUAAAGGCUUCAAGACUUUUCUUUCCCACUCCUCCCUGCCCAUGCGAGGGAGGCUCCAUUUUAAAAUGUAACACACACACACAAAAAAACGGAUUUGAAAUAAGGCAUUAGCCUGAGGUAACUUACCCCCACCUUGGCUCCAGAGCAGCUUGGAUUUCCGAUUCUUUGAGCAGGUCAGUGAUUUGGGGAACCAGUAAAAGAGCCGGGCUAUUCUUCUGAAGGUCUCAUGAAAGUCACUUCUUAUGGCCAUAGCGAGAACCAGGAGUGUUCCAGAAUGACUCGCUACAGAG
rnacentral:lncRNA from 1 species